rnacentral:lncRNA from 1 species
AGUGCAAGGCUUGGCAGAAUAUUUCUUCCCAAGGAUGAGCUCUUACUUGCUGGCAUACCAGAUGAGGACAUAUUUAAUGGGAAAGUCACUGAUAAUUGGAGGGCAUUUAUGAAAGGACAGAUCAAGCGAGCUAGGGGGUUCCUUGAUGAGGGUAAACACGUAAUUAAUGAGUUGGAAGUUGAUGUUAGGUGGGCGAUGUGGACUGGCCUGUUACUGUAUAUGCAACUACUGGAUGGGAUAGAGGCCAAUGACUAUGACAAUCUCACAAAGAAGAUUUCGUUGGGGAAAGGAAAGAUGCUACUAACUACGCUUACAGGUUAUGGCAAAUCACGUGGAUUAUUUUAAUUUUUGUUCCCUUGACAGUAAUGCGUGAAUUUCAAAUAAAUGAAGAUUCAAAUCCUCUAGUUAGAUACGUCUUUCUUUUGAAAAUAUGUCAAUUAUACUGAAUUUUAAUUAACACUUAUUUUGAAAAGAGAGAUGAGAGAGGGGAGGAUGAGAUAGAAGUUGAGAAUGAACUGUUGGAUUGCAGGCCAAAUUGAGAUGUGUGGAAGCUGGAGGGAUUUGUCAAAUAAAAUUAUUUGAAAUUCCUUUAUUUUGCCCUUUAAAUAUAAGGGUAAUUUUUCUUGAUUUCAAAUUAUUUGGCCUAUUCGCUAUCCAAAUAUACUCGAUGAAUUUUAGACAAGGAUCCAUGUAUCCAAACGAAACCUUAACGUCAAUUUUAUUUACGAAAUUGGAAUUUAUUUAUCAUUUUGGGUUUUAAGCAUUCGGCCUCAUAGUAAGAGGCUUAUUUUAAUUGGUCUGGGAAAAAACGUUCAAGAGCAAAAAGAAAAAAAAAAUCCAAUCUUGUGCCAAAGUGGUGGUGGUUGUCCUAAAAAUAGAUUUUGCUUCACAACUUAAACUCCUUCAAAUCCCUAUCCUUCAAUUCCCUAUCCUUGGUCACGCUGUUAGUAUCUCUUCCUUACCAUUUGCUAGUCGCGGCCUACGACAAUAAUGAUGAUAAAAAAUUAUCAAAAAUAAAAAGCAUUAUCACUGCAACAAUGAUAGAUUUAAAGAAAAAAGGAAAUAUAAAUUAUCAUUGCUGGGGGCGGCAGCAGUUGGAGAGGGUGGGGAUGGGGGUGGGAAGAAGAGCGUUGAUCCCGUAGUCUAGUCUUCUACUUUGAUGCAACACUUCGAUGUGCUUAUAGACUGUCGAUAAUGUAUUGCUUAAUGCGUAUAACACUGAAAACUCGGGAGCUUCAUUUGUUACAAUACAAAGUAGUCGAUGCAUGUCAGCUUUAAAUUGCCUUGGGAACAACUAAACCAUGUUGCAGUUAGUACCACAAUGAGAUUUCUCAUUACUUACUGAUGCCCGGUAUUGACUCAGCUGGCACCUCCAACAAACACCGCGCAAAAUCCGUUGUUACGAUGAACUAAAAGCUAUUCAUGACUAUAACAAUGAUACUAUUGUUAUAAGAUUUGUUAUUCGAAGAAUAAUACAGAAUUUGGGAAAUCAACAGAAAUAUUUUAUUAAACCAAAUAAGAACAAAUUUACAAUAAAUAAUUGAAAAGAAAUACAAAAUAAUAAAGUGAGUGGAAAAAGAAUCGCAAACCGAAGCUGAAGUCUCGUAUAUUUCAAAACCGAUCUCCUUAAGGCGGAUUCGUCCCUCACCGGUGUGCGUUGAGUCAAUGGGAGUCGCCUCCCCAGGAUUAAAACAGCAAACUCAGGUUAGUGUUAGCACAAGCAUAGUAACGGCCCGUCGAACUCACAGGUUUUUGGACUCUCUAGGGAGAGACAAAAAAAGUUUAAAAAGAAAAAAACUCUCUGGCUUAGGUAGUGUGUGCCUCUCAGAUAUUGUAUCUUGGUGUGUAUCUAAAACAAAGAUUAGACAUGACUGUAUAUAGGAGUGGGGAAGCUUAUCAUUCAUGUAGGAAUGAUGGCAAUAUGUGUGUUAAUGGCUGCAUAUUCUUUUUGUAAACUGCAGCCAUUAACCUCAUAAUAAUGUGGUUGAUAUUUACAAAUCAUUCAACUUCAAAAUUGUAAUUCCAAAUUUAAAUUUUCCAACAAUCCCUCCCUCAACAAGAGAAACUUUCAAAUGAUCCAGGAAAGCAUACAAAACGUAAAUCAAAACGGUCAUGGAGAUACGCAGAUAAUUGCAUUGUCAAAAGCAAUCUCCAGUCUCGAUCAAAAUCCCCUCCUGGAAACUGCAUGACCGUAGCGUGCUCAAUAACAAAGAUACCUAAUGCUCUUUGCAAACGUCGUCGAUGAUCUCUUCAUGGCAGUCUAUGUCCAUGUCCAGGGGCGGUACUAGGAAUUGUAGCCCCUUCAUUUUCAAAAAAUUAUAAAAUUUAUACUAGAAAUUUUUUAUUUCUACACUUUAUCCCCUUAAAAUAUAUUUUUACACUUUAGCCCCCUAACCUAAAAUCUUGACUCCGGCCUGACCAUGUUCUUGGUCGCUUUUUGUAAACUUGCACGCUCCCACUGGAAAUUUGGAAUUAUAAACCGCUUUAACUACUUAAUUUU